CGACCUUCCAAACGUAUCAGGACGAAGCGAAGGGAAUGCCAAGAGUCGAGGGAGGGAACUUCAGCAGACCCAGCAGCGCGCGGAAGCCCCCUGGGAACGCCGCCCGGAACUUCACCUCUUCACCGGCGCCUCAGCCUCCGACAGUUAGUUAGUUGGUCCCGGCGUCUUAAAGGGAAAGGUGCCCCAGGAAGGUGAAGACGGAGCCAAGAACCUCAAGACUCCAACACCACCCACCAUCUCCAACAACAACUCCACAAAGGCUAAAAGAAUGUCAGGGAGUUUUAUCUUCAGUUUUUACUUCCAUUUUUACUCCCUCCUCCUCCUCCUCCUCUUCCUCCUCCUCCUCCUCCUCUCUUCCGUGUACCACUUUAGCCACCUUGCAAAAUACUGGUGUCCCAUUUUCUAUCUCGAAUACUGAUGCUUAUCCUACACUUUUUUUCUGGUAACACUGUGGGCUUUGUCGUUGUCAAAGGAAUAUACGAAAGGUCAGAUAUAGAUAGAUAGCUGGAUAGACAGACAAGUAGAUAGAUAAAGAAGCAGAUAUAGAUAAAGAAGUAAGAUAAAUGAAGAUAAAGGUAAAUAUAAAUAGAUAGAUAGAUAGAUAGAUAUUUCUGUGGAUUAGGUACUGAUGGGAGUGGAUUGGUAGUUGAGAGAAGACUGCAAUUCACGGUAGUUAUCAAUAGAGGGAAGAAGAGUAGUUAGUGAAUGAUUAAAUAAAGAGUCUGGAUUAUUUAGAAGCGUGACAGAGAGAGUAAUUAUAUAAUAUAGAUGAAAUGAAUAAUAGAUUGAGAGAGAGAGAGAGAGAGAGAGAGAGAGAGAGAGAGAGAGAGAGAGAGAGAGAGAGAGAGAGAGAGAGAGAGAGAGAGAGAGAGAGAGAACAGAGAACAGAGAGAGAACAGAGAACAGAGAACGAGAGAUACAGACAGAGAGA